AAGUAAACGAAAAAAGGAUACUUACCACAUUCACAGACUCUGCAUCCACUUUAGCCUACAAGGCCAAAAAUAUGUAAAUGUUAAUGCCAGCUUGCCGGUGUCUCGACCAUCCCGAGUUUUCACAACUCUUAUUAUUAACUAUUUUUCCAAUGUAUUGCUAACUUUGUGUCAUUAUCCUUAACGUAAUGGAUAAAAGUUAGUAGUACUGUUCGGGUUUACAGUGCACGUUCCACUUCUCCCCCCUUUCUCCUCUCAUCCGUGGUGCACUCCCUACCUUAUUUCCACCGAAUGGAGGUGAUCCACAGCAACAACAUCAUGUUUACUGGGCAGGGUGAAGUGAAAAUCGGUGAGUAUUGCCCUGGUCCUCCAACUCCAAUAAAUUGGAGUGUAAUGUUCUCUCAUUUCUUUCUACAGGUGACUUGGGAGCAGCAGUCAGCUUCAGUGACAUACACAGAUGAAGAGAGCUCUCUGGUGUUCUCCACCGAAAACCAGGCAGACGGUCAUUCCCGCGGACCAGGAGGAGGAGGAGGAGAGGCAGAUUGGGACUGAGAGCCACUCACCAGAACAACAUGGGGUGGCAUUUGGCCUGCUGACUAAAACGAACAGGUAAUGCCCUGUCAUGUCAUGCCCCAAACUCUUUCUGCUGUGAUGUUUCUGAUCAGGUCUGAUUUUGUUUCUGGCUGUGUGUUGCAGGAUGUUCACCUCUUCUGUCUACGGUCCUGUUUUCUUUUGCAUCAGUUUGCUGAGUGCAUACUCGGUGCGUCCCACCACUGGCACAAGAAGAAGAGCCGUAAACAAGACAUCCUGGAUAAGCUUUGCUGUCAAUGUGGGUUUGUGGAAACAGAUGACCUACAAUGGAUUGCCUGCAAUAGUUGCAACAAGUGGUUCCAUCAGGGAUGCGUCAACUCUGCAGCAGUGGACAAAGAAUAGCAAUGCGUUGUGUGCAUAUUUUAUUUUUAUUUCAUUGUGUUGAAAUGCCCUUUUUUAUACUUUUAUUUAUAUUUUUGCUGUAUGUUCAAUUGAUUUUAUUAAAACUGUAUAUAGUUCCAUGUUGACUUUUUAUUAAAUUAUUUGAAUUAAAUUGCUUUUGCCUAAUUAAUUACUGUAGCAUAAAUUGUUUUACUUAUUAUAUGUAUGUGCAAAUUAUAUUUGACCCAUAUUACAUGUUUGAUUUAAAUAUUAAAAUGUAAUAGAUCUGACAAUUAUUUAGCAUUUUUUUCAUUGUUAUAAAACACAUAACUUUAUCUGGCAUAAAAUAUUU
ensembl:lncRNA